rnacentral:rRNA from 1 species
UAGGGAAUAUUGGACAAUGGGCGAAAGCCUGAUCCAGCCAUGCCGCGUGGAGGAUGAAUGCCCUCUGGGUUGUAAACUCCUUUUAUCUGGGAAGAAACUCCUCGACUUGUCGAGGCCUGACGGUACCAGAGGAAUAAGCACCGGCUAACUCCGUGCCAGCAGCCGCGGUAAUACGGAGGGUGCAAGCGUUAUCCGGAUUUACUGGGUUUAAAGGGUGUGUAGGCGGGUUGGUAAGUCAGUGGUGAAAGCCCCGAGCUUAACUUGGGAACUGCCAUUGAUACUGCCAGUCUUGAAUACGGUUGAGGUAGGCGGAAUAUAACAUGUAGCGGUGAAAUGCUUAGAUAUGUUAUAGAACACCGAUUGCGAAGGCAGCUUACUAAGCCGUGAUUGACGCUGAGACACGAAAGCGUGGGGAGCAAACAGG